GGAGCGAUUUUCUGAGCUGUCAGUUGGUAGGUUAUUUCUUCUCUUCCUGUUUUAACUGAAGGCUUAGCAAACACACUUCACAGGAUGUGACUUGAGAAAGACAAGUUUCUUCAACUUUCUGCAGUGUUGCUCAUUUUGAGUAGGACUCUGAGCAGUGUUAGUUUUGGCAGGGAAGAAGGGAGGCAUGGAGAAGGAGAAAGAAGGACGAAGAGGAAGAAAAGUUGAGGGGCUUGAAACCCCCAUCUGAGCUAUAAACUGCGUGUUGAUAAUAUCCGCAAAUGUUCCGCAUCUCUGUGGUGUGUGGGAGUGGCUUUCAUGCCGGUCACCGCACAUACUAGUACGCCGCUCUCUUGUUCCCUGCAUUGCGCAUUUGAUGCUCAGUUCUCAGGAUGCUUCAAAGUAAAGUGGAUCGUUGCAGCUCUUCCUCCGACCGACCGCAACCGGUGUACUAUUAUUUCUGGUGGUUUCACAGAAACUCCUGUUUUCGUUGGGAAAUAGAAACGAAAUAAAGAUGUUAAUCUCUG